rnacentral:rRNA from 1 species
GACGAACGCUGACGGCGUGCAUAACACAUGCAAGUCGAACGGAAAGGCACUGCUUUUGUAGGGUGCUCGAAUGGCGAACGGGUGAGUAACACGUGAGUAACCUGCCCUUGACUUUGGGAUAACUUCAGGAAACUGGGGCUAAUACCGGAUAGGAGCUCCUGCUGCAUGGUGGGGGUUGGAAAGUUUCGGCGGUUGGGGAUGGACUCGCGGCUUAUCAGCUUGUUGGUGGGGUAGUGGCUUACCAAGGCUUUGACGGGUAGCCGGCCUGAGAGGGUGACCGGCCACAUUGGGACUGAGAUACGGCCCAGACUCCUACGGGAGGCAGCAGUGGGGAAUAUUGCACAAUGGGCGGAAGCCUGAUGCAGCAACGCCGCGUGCGGGAUGACGGCCUUCGGGUUGUAAACCGCUUUCGCCUGUGACGAAGCGUGAGUGACGGUAAUGGGUAAAGAAGCACCGGCUAACUACGUG